AGAAACUGCUAACUAACAGCCUGUUCCACGAUGUCGAAAGAACACGUUCGCACAACUUUUACACGACAAACAGCUGAUUUCCGUUCCACUAAAAUCCAUCAGAACGAAAAUUUGCACGAAAAUCAAAGCGAACGAAAACGUAAGCGUUUCAGUGUAAUUUUGCGUUCCACUAUCUUUUUUCUUUCGUACGCAUGCGAACACAAAUGUCAAAAUCAGUCACUUGUGUGUUUGCUGUCGAAUGAUAAAAAUUAAGGAAAAUUGUUUUAACAUAAACAUUCCUUGAUUGAAAAUGGAAAGAAAAAUCACGAAAAAACUACACAGCUGCGGGCACUAGUUGAGUAUAUGGGGGAGAAUCCUAAGUUCGGCAGAGGAGUGCCAAUUUUUGGAAGCAGCAGGCAAUCCCAUGAAGACCACUGGAAGACCCAAACCUAGAAAAAAUCAUUUUUUUAUUAUUUCAAAAAUGUAAAAAUACAAUCAUACUUACUGGUUGUUAGGUACUUCAAAUAAAUUCGAAGCAUCUCUUAAA